rnacentral:tRNA from 1 species
GCCGACGUAGCUCAACGGUAGAGCAGCUGAUUUGUAAUCAGCCGGUUGGCGGUUCAAGUCCGCCCGUCGGCUCCA